UUCUGGGCUGUGAGCACACACCGUGCUCAUGUGAGUUUUUCAUCAACUAUUACCCCCAAGUCUUUCUCUGCAGGGUUGUUCUUCAAUCACUUUUCUGUCCAGCCUGCAUUUGUGCCCACAUGUGUGGUUGGAAGGAUAUGUAACAAGAGGAUCUCUUGGUAAUAUUUCUCCAGUCCUGGGCAUGAGCUACAUGAGAUGCUGUGCUAAUGAAGAAGGAAAUGUGGAUGUACAGAUAGCUUCACCUUGGUAUUCUGCUCAUCACUAGGAUAAGAUUGUGGUAAGGGGAGUUAUUUGAAGGGAAUAAAAUUGGCCUGUGAUCCCAAGUAUUUGUAGUUGCUGGGAUGGACAAGGAAAGUUCUAGGCAUCAGCCUUGCUCUGUUGUGAUGCUAGAGCUCCUUUUGUGGGACAGGACAGCUUUGCUCCUGGAAAAGUGCUGUCCCAAGAGAGCACUACCUGGCUCUGAAGUCACCCAACACAGUGGGCAGCCCUGAGGUCUGGGUGAGCAGGUGUCCUUGCUUGUCUUGACUGCAGUUUGAGCUUUAUGGAAGGGCUCAGGGGAAAUGCCAUUGUUUGGAAUCCACAUGUCUGGCAUGCAGUCAAGUCAGUCUUCCUUUGUAGCUUUCCUCCACUAGGGGUGAAGGAGAUUUGUGAAGUUAAUUAGACUCCAGAUUUGAACUUUCCUCAUGGGUGUUGGAAACUGGCAUUCUUCUUUCAACUUAUAUGCAUCUAGAGCUGCUACACAUUGGACUUGGGAUGCUCCUGGAAUGAGAAAUGGAAUGUAUGACAUAUCUAUCUGCUUUCCAGGGACUGCUUUGUCAGAGUCUGUGAUUCAGCUCUUUGCCUUAUGGAUUAACUGGGAGUAUUCAUGUACUUUUAAAAUUUCUUUUAAAACAUUUUGCUGAGAUGAAGUCUGUGCAGUUAAUUAGAACUCUGCCACUGUUCACAGAAUGCUGGCUGUGCUGAGCAAAGCUCUUCAAACACCUUUUUCCUGAAUUUGAACAGGCAAAGCACUGGGCUCUCACGCUUUCUUGGCAGGCAGAAGUGGUGAGGUAAGGAGCUACUUGUUCCUGGUGGCAUUUCUGUGCUGCUGGGAGACUGGCUGUGUAGUGAGCUGGAGCCAGCACUCCUCAGCUCCUGGGUCUUGUAGAAGAAUGGGGCAGAGAGUUUUGCUUUGCCAAAUGCAGUCUGUCCUUACUGGGAGCCACACAUCAGAGAUAUCCUUUUGGCACAGUGGUCAAAUACCAUUUCAGCAGAUGUUUAAUGCAAAAUUGUCAGCGCUUCCAAGGAAAGCUGUGCCACAGCUUUGUUCCUCUGCUCAAUAGCAAAUUCCUUCAGACUCCCAGGUUCUUUCAUCUUUAACUGGUUCAUAGUCCUGUAUCCAUAUUUGAACCCUUUGUGAUCACUUCUUCCAUCCCUUGAUUGUGUCCUUUGCCGAGGGAACAUCCCUCCAGCUUCUGCCCUCUUCUGAGUGAGCAGCUUACAUGCUUUGCCUAUCCUUGCCCAGAGCCAGUUUUGUUCAGAAAUAGAUUGAUUCAUUUUUUCAUCUAAAUGUGGAAUGGUCCAGAUUUUUAUGUGAGAGCUGAGAUCAAAAACUUGUUGUUUGCUUCUACUUAAACAAAAUAUGCUUUUUUAAAAAAAAAUAAUCUGAAGAUGUUCCAAAAUUUCUCCUGAAACAUUUUUCACUUUCUUAUAUUUCAAAAAAGAUUAGCAGAAACAUGGAACUGCUUUGGCAGUUGUGGAAAUAAAAUUAAAAAAACAUGAGUUAAAAUGCAACUGCUCAAGCCUGGGGGGUGGAGGCUGAAGAGUGUUUACUAGAAACAUACUUGCUGUGUGGCUGGGACAGCUUUCUGUUUGGGAAAAUAUUGCAAAUCUAUUCACUUUACAUAUGGACAAGUGGUGAUAUAUCAGUGUUCUGUGUAUCGUGCGUGUACCCCGAGUACAGAAAUGCCUUGUUCUCAGGAAGCUUCCAUCUCUGGAGUGAAAGGCAGCAGCUAUUUUUAGUAGUGUGCUGCAGCAUUGCAUAGGAGAGCACAAGAUGAUGCUGUUUCCCUGGCUCACUUCAUGGAUGACUUUGCUAAUUUACUAUGUGAGGACUGAUGACAAACUAGUACCACCAGAGGAGCACAGACACAGCUUCAUGUUUUUUUGAAAGAAGCCAGCAAGGUUGUGUUGAGGACCAGUCUCAAACCGAACAACAAAAAUUAUUUCAUUGGAGAAGAGCUCAUAAAACUAUGCCCUGUAUCUGUAAAUGCUUGAAAUUCCAGCUUUAGAAAUAAACAUUACAAUGCAAAGCCUGGGCUGUUUCUGUCAGGUGCCCAGAAGAGUGGGCACUGAGAUGUAGUAGCUGGUAGUCAGGAUGGAGAAUGUCCCCUCUUUAAAGAGGCAGCAAAAGACUUCCAUUUCUUUCUCCUGCUCAAACCCCUUUCCUGAAGAUUUCACAGAUUCUCACCAGGUACUGCCCUCUCUGUAUGCACAAGAUGUGUUCUGUAACACAGUAACAGCAGUAACAACAGUCCCGCUUUUCUGACAUGUGUGAUCAAUUGGAGAUUAAAUCCUAACAUGAAACCUUGCAGCAAAAGGCUGCGCUUGGUUUACACCAUCUUGUCAGGCUGCUGGAGUUCCAAAGUCAGCAUUUUGUUUGGGUGAUGACACCAGGACCAUCACAUUUACUCUUCUGUUGACAGCUGGUCUGCUGAUUUCCCUCUGCAAAUGGCUUUGGGUUUUGCAAGUGUAAGGGGUGAAGAGCCAUGUGACUGCAACAGAACAGUUUGUUUCUGCAGUAAAUGGAAAAAGCAAAAUGCAAACACAGUAGAAAUCUUGCCUCCUGUAUUUCAAUUGCUCAUUUUUUUAGAAAAAUUGUAUGGCUGAUGUUUGUUGGAAUUUUUAUGGCUUUUCCUAGUGUGCAUUCGUGCAUUUCUUCUCUCCAGACUAGCUUCAUUAUUGUAAAAAAGAAGUUGGUGUGCCCAAGAAAAUGCUGUUGUUGAGAGUGGUAACAUGUGGAAUUUAGUGAGUUAGCUACUAAAGAACAUUAUUUCAGCAGUUAUCACAGAAUAGACAUGUAAGAUGUAAAACUGUUUAAACUUGGCAAGAACAUCCAAGAUUUGCAUUUUCCUAAUUAGAAGUGCUAGAGUUAUUGCAAAAGCAAGGCAUAAUUGGUUUACCUGGAAUUUUUUUCAAAACUGAAAUAUACACAGAAAAACAUUUGAAAAUUAAGGAUUUCAAUGUAGUUUGAAGACCUGGGAAGAUCCAGCCUUUAUGAAUGUUAUAAAAGCCUUGCUGGAUAUGUUUUAGCCAUUUGUACUGGUGCAUUUAUAGCAAUGCAUAGUGGGAGUGGAAAUUAUGUUUUGUUGUGCAUUUGUGAGCAAGGAUUUUCAGUUGUAUUCACUUUAUAAAGAUGAAAAAUAUCAAAAAAGUCAUUCAGUCAUGUUUUGAGCUCUGGAACUUGUUUUCUUGCAGAGGAAUAUUGCAAAUGGAUUUCAGACCACUUGGGACUGUGAUUUGGAGCAGUAACCUCUGACUGAAAGCAAGGUGGAGAAGGAAGAGAAUGCAGUUUGGAUUUACCAUUGUUAAAUUAAGCAGUGCCUGUUUAAAGGAUUUUUAAGUUUUUUGUUGGGUCAUUCUGGAUUUGUAUGAAUUUUUUUUUUUUUGUUUCUGUAAUAGCUGCUGUCUCCAAAUGCUUGGCAUAAUUCUGCUUUGCUUACUUAAAGUGGAGUCUUGCUUCUGAAGUCUCUGAAGUUGUUACAGUCUAAGCCUGGCCUGAAUCUGGAAUCCAUAUUGGCAUACUUUACGGAAAAUAUCUCAGGGCUUAAAUAACUAAGCUGUAAAGAUUUUCUUUCUUGUUACCCUAAUUUAAAAAAAAUAAAUAAAGGAAGAGCAAGACAUUGCUACAGAUAUGCUGUAUUUUAUUUACAUGGAUAUUCUGGUGUCCAAGCUGCUGAUUCAUAUGAUGAGGGAACCUCUGUUGCGUGGCUGGUUCAAACACUUAAAAGUAGACGUGCCUGCCAGGGGUGCAGACCUUCUGGCACAGGUAAUAAAAGCCAGAUGUAUCAGCAGCUUCAACUCCAGCUCAGCCACAGAACUGAAAUGAAGUCUGUGUGUGUCAGCCACCAGUUUGUCACAGCACAGCCUUGGCAGAAGGACUAUGUGUUCUGUAUCAGGGAGCCCCAACCCAGUUGUGGGGGUCAUAUUGCUCAGCCUUUUGGACCAAAUGAUCAUCAAAAUCAGCCUUAAGACAGGCUUUGGAGGUUUUACUGAAGGAAGUAGGUUGGUUUUUAUGUUGUUGCUGGUUAGUUUGGGUUUUGGUGCUAUGGUUUUUUGUUUGGCAGUUUUUUUAAAUUAGGAAAUCAAACCAGGUUGGCCUUGUGAAUCUCUGUCCUGCCUUAGUCAGGUCAACACAUGAGACUUGGAAGGCACUAAGGUUCUGGAGUGCUGGAAAGUAGUCUGCACCAAGGAGAAAGUGUUUUCCAGAAGCACUGGCUGUCUCAUAACCCAGUCAAACUCUACUUUUGUUGCAGAGUACCUGCAGUACAGCUUUGAGGGCUGGCUCUUGUAAAACUGUCAAGACUCAGCUGAGUUUAGCAUAAUGCAAACUUCUGUCUGCAAUCCUGUUCCCUGACCCGAGUCUGCCCUGCAACAACUGUAUCUAGGGCUAGGAGAAGAGUUUGGCUUGUCCUGUCUUAAGUACAUUCAUUCUUGUAGUACUCCUGUAGCUAUUCCAGGGAUCUGCUGAAUCUCUAGUACAGAGCUGGGCAAAUAAACACCGAAGAAACCUGUGAGAGAGGUAAGUCUCAAGCCAAAGACAAUCCCCUAGGUGUGGGGGUGGCCUUUCUCUCUUUGCCAGUCCUCGCUGUUCUUGUCAAAGCUGCCAGUGGCAAGCAGUGAGUUAAAAAUGCUCACUUCUGGAAAGCCACACUCACAGCCCUGCCGAGCAGCAGUUCAAAGAUUGUUUUCAUGCUUAGCAUGUUUCACUCCUGCCUCUUCAGAGAUCAUGUUAAUAUUAUCACCUCUCAUCAAACAUUAAUCUGUACAUCAUUUGCCAAUUGAAGCAUGAGUAGGUUGCACAGAUUUAUUCAGCAAGCAGCAAUUGCUGCCUAGACUCUGUGGUCUAGUUGUUAACAGCUGGCUGUUUGGGUUGUGUUUUUGUUAAGUGGAGAGCCUAUUUAUAGGCAGCAGAACACAUGCACAUCCUUGUCUGUGCUACUGCAGAUCCUGGGAAAUCUCCCCUGGUACAAAAGCCUAGUCUACCAGCUAGCAUAAUGUAUACUAAAGCCAGCGUGGGAGAGUUAGAGGUGUUGGUUUUUGUUGGGUUUUCUCCUCUAUCACUAUCUUGAAGCUUUGGAGCAGACCGAUAGCACAGGGUCAGGCUGCCUGCCUGAAAACUGGGGCAAAAUGUUUCCCAGGAUACAGAGGAAGCAAUCUAUGGUGGUGGUGUCUGACACAAAAUGCCAUUAAAAAUAUUCUUGUGUCAAAGAAUCUGAUUUUAAACAAGGUAUUUAAUGUGCAAGUGUCUAUGUGUGUGCAUCUCACCACAUUCUUUACCCAGAAGAAGGCAGAGUUAGCUUUUCUUUGCUUCUUUAAAAUCAGAUGGCAGGUGAGGAAUCUGUGGUGACAAGAGCCUGGGAGCUGUGUCACUCCUUCUCAAGGGCUGGAGGAGAAGAGGGUGUUGGCUGACAGCCAGCAGAGGAAAACCUAUUUAUGUGUGCACACUUGACACCAUCACUGAGAUGGGGAGUAUGGCCUGGUGCCCCUGAGCAGCCGGGAGUUUGGCUGUGGCACUCUGCUAUUCAGAGGUGCUGCUUGCCUGAGUCACUCUUUGUGCUGAAAAUGAAACACUGUGAUUCUAGCAGAGCAUACAAUGAACUGCUAAUUACAAAAGUGAAAACAAAGUUAAAGAGAAAAAUGAGCACAGCAUAAUUUCACAUAGUGCUAAAUAGCUGCCUUUUUUUUUUUUUCUUGGUUGCUUUAGUCUCCCUACUAUGAGGUGUUAUGGCAGAGAGUGGGAAACUGGCUUUUCCACUUGCUUCUUCCAGAGUUCACACACCUCUGGGCUGCUUUUCUCUCCUUUUGUUCAAGAAGGAUUUCCCAUGAUCUUGUACAUCAUUCUACUGCUCUCAUCUUUGUGCAGUGCUCUCUUCCCAACUCAUGCUUGCUUGCUUCAUAUGUAGGAAGUCACAUUUUAAUUCCAUCACAGCAAUUAUUCUAUCUGGGUGGGGGAAAAAAAAACCCACCAGCUGCUGUUCUGUAUUGUGAAGAACACAGGACAACCUGCUUUGUCUGUCCCUUCCUUCUCUCCCAGUUUCUUGUCACAUCAGAGUUUGGAAGUAGUUUCAAUAGGUACUUGUGAAGGAGGAGAAUGAAGAAUUCUGCAGGGCACUGGAGUGAGCAGAAGCACAGAGUGGACUCUGGCUGGAAUGAUGUGUGCACUCCAGUCUGUGCACUUGCUUCUCAGAGCGUGGUCUUUGAGUGAGCAGCCUCAGAGACAUACAUGAACUGUUAAAUUGUUUCAGUCACCCACCUGUUUACACCUCUCCUCAGGGGGAAGGUACUUGGGUAAGUACUACAUACAUCAGUCUGCAUUUCAUAUUCAGGCACACAGGCAUUAAUGCUGAUGCACAAUUCAUACAUGAGUAGCAUGCAUGACAUCCCAAGGAUCUGUUUACAGGAUCGGGACCCCGGAGCUUCAGCCAUGAGGAAUACAGGAAUGCACUGGCAGUGCGUUCUAUCCUGACUGGCAAUCCACUCCUAGCCAAGGAUGCAAACGGAUAGGCUCCAGUGCUUUCUGCAAGGCGCUGUGCCAGCAUGGUACAGAUGAUGGGGAAGAGCUGAACAGAUACUUAACAUCUCUGUGUAUAUCUUCCCCAUUCUGUCAUAAGAGUACCUCAUAUAAAUAAAUAAAAGGGAUGCUGUUAAGUCAUGCCAGUCAAAAAAAAGUCUGAAGACAGACUCUGGCUGCCUGCCCGGUUGUGCUAGGUUUUGUAGGCUACGAAGCAUAUACUUGUGUCUGAGAAAGUACUUAACUGGUGAUCCAUGGACUUCUGGAGACCUGGGAUGAUUUCUGAUGGAGAUGUUAAAUGUAAAUAAGAGACUCUUGUAAUGGGACUUCUACUCUGCAGGAAUCAGCAACUCUUAAAAAAUGCUGAGGUCUCUAAGCUGUAAGAAGUUGACACCCAUUUUCUCAUUUAUAGAACACUUCAGGAAUGCUGUAGGGCACUUGAUGCCAAGAAAGCUCUGCCUUUUCUCUGUCACACUGACAUUGGUGGAACUUGGGUUAGUAAAUCUGCAGGAUCCCACUGUCAGACUUGAGUUUGGUGUUUGGGUUGUCUGGGGUUUUUUUUUGAGGGGGAAUGUUCCUUUCUUUCCAUGUAGGCCUAGUAACAGUCCCUAUUUCCUCAGUUAAGUGACUUCCUGUGGCUGGGAUUUGGAAAUCAGUAGAACCUUUCGUAUUGUUUUUUUCUGCUGUCCUUGAAUCUCUUUUAGGAAGUUGGUGUCUCUGAACCACCUCUAGAGUAAUUGGAGGGCAGAUGCUCUGUGAGGUUUGUACUUGUUUAAACAGUAAAUUAAAUUGCAGGGAAGCUGUACUCGCUCACAGAUAUGAUGAUUAUGAUGUUAAAAUGGUACUGGGUAGGCCCACACCUCCAGCCCCAUGGGAAUCCUUAAUGGAAAACAAGGAGCUGUAACAUCACUGACCCUGUACAGUGUGACCUUGGGGUGGGGGUGUGUGGGGGAAACACUGACUUGCUGAAACCUUCCCCCUCCCACAACUCCA